AGAGUUUGUAUCCUGGCGUCAGGAUCAACGCUGGCGGCGUGCCUAAUGCAUGCAAGUCGCACGGGGUCGAUCUUCGGAUGGCGUCACGUGGCGGACGGGUGAGGAACGCUGGGGAACCUGCCCAGUGUGGGGGUAGGCCUUCGGAAACGGAGGGUAAUUCCGCAUGAGCUCAUGGUCCUUGUGGGGAUGAUGAGGAAAGGUCUUCGGACCGCCAUUGGAGGGACCUGCGUCCGAUUAGCUUGUUGGUGGGGUAACGGCUCACCAAGGCGAUGAUCGGUAGCUGGUUUGAGAGGAUGAUCAGCCACACGGGGACUGAGACACGGCCCCGACUCCUACGGGAGGCAGCAGCAAGGAAUUUUCCGCAAUGGGCGAAAGCCUGACGGAGCAACGCCGCGUGCGGGAUGAUGCUUUUCGGAGUGUAAACCGCUGUUCGUGGGGACGAAGCACUGACGGUACCCACGGAGGAAGGCCCGGCUAACUACGUG
rnacentral:rRNA from 1 species